GAGUUAGAAGAGGUAAGAGUUCGAGAGAAAGAUUUCCAUUUAAUUAUAAUGAGUGAGCUCAGUCAAGUUCUGGAAGCGGAACAGGUCUUUGCUGGUCAAAAAGACUUGCAGGAAGAUAAUGCUGAUCACGCUUUGUUAGGCUUAACAAAUCAUGAAAAAAGAACGAUUUUGGCUCAAGAUAUUAAGUUUGAACAUUGAUAAAUAAGAAUUUUUGCACCUUGCUUCUGAAGUAGAGAGGAUUUUUCCUGCUGAAGGUGCGGCUACCUAUUACAUUGGUUUUAGGCUUGAAAACUAAAGCAGAUGCAGCGAAGUUGGAAAACUUUAUAACCAUUUCAUUACCCAGAAGCAGAACUGAGGAAAAAGGGAAUAUUAAAAGCAGCGCUAUAAUCUAAUCGACUAACAGAUUACCAAGCAGCGAGUGUCUUUCAAUUUGAGGAUUUGAUUGAAGAUAAACUAGAAUAUCUCACGAAAUACUCGGAUGACCCUACAAAGCUCAAACAGUAUUGGCUAGAUAGCCAUUAAGCUCGAAGUAAUAUUCUGAAAAUUGAAAGAUGCAGUGUCCGAAAAUAUCUCUAUUGCUUUAAAGUUCUGCGGGAACAACUAGGACGAGAACUGAUAGUCAGCAUACUGACAUAUUUUAUUUACUGCUAAAUAUCGUACCAGUCGGAAAGGCUCAACGCAGAAGUAAAGAUAACUGAAUUCUGACAACGAAGAAAAUAAGAUUUCUGAGGUAUUUGAGAAUCCAGAAACGAAUGAAUGCUCACAGAAUUUAUUAAGGGAAAACGCGAGUGCAGGCGAAAAGAGCAAUUCGUAUAUGCUCUCUGUGCAGGUUAAUAACGAGGCUGAAGAAGUUCUACAGGAUCUAAGGAAAAGUUUAUGCGAUGAAAAAUCAACACUCCAGCCAAUUUUUUUGAUUAUUGAAUUAAUCGUUAAUGUGCGAACGACCUUUGUCACCGUUAACAAUGUUUGGUACAGAACACGCUUAUUUUCUAGAUGCGAUUGUCUUAGUAUUUGGAGCGUUUUAUGCUUUUGAUUUUGUGUUUCCGGACAAAUCAAAAUACCUUCGGUAAUUGGUACUAGUUUCAGGACUUAGUAUUAGAUCGCCCUCUAAAAAAAUAUGCCUCAAAGUUAUCUCAAGUUCAAAAUAAAUUAAUGCGAAGUUCGACGUUAUCAAACAGAGAAACUAGUCAUCAAAAUUUACAAAGAAUACUUUCUUAUUUGAUUAAAAACAUCGUAUUAUACAAAAUUGAUGCAAAGUUGACAAGUGUACUACUCAGAACAAGUUUUCAACCCUGUCAUCGAAAAUACCUGUAAAUGCAACUUUGUUAAACUGUUUCGCUUGUGAAUUAUUAUUCGCACAAAUAAUUACGAAACUUCCAUUGUAUGUAAAUCGAC